AGAGGUUAGUAUUAAAGAAAUAAAAAGAGAGGGCUGAUGAAAAAAAAAAAAAGUUGUCUCACCUUGCUCCUCCAUUGCCGUGACUUGGGGGAGGGAGAAGAAAGUUGGGUUGCUUUAAUUUUUAGCUUAGAAGAUGGCAAGAAGGAGGAAAAACUAUGAUUUUAGCUAGUUAGGUAGCUGAAAUUUCAAGUAACUCGGUAAUCCAUCGAAGAAGAAGAAGAGGGCUGCAACAAAAGAAAAAUGGAGACAGCUUGCAUGUUGAAGGAAACUAAGGAUUUAGCUUGUUUAGGAGUUGUAUCCUAAGUUGAUCUCAUUUGGAAGCUACAGGCUCGGGGAUCGUCAGCAACUAGUCACACUAUCACUAUCCACUGUUUGAUACUGCUAUGUUUUGGAAUAUCUUAUGGCAUGUAUAGAAUAGACUAGUAGUGAGAGGAUAUCUUGGUUAAUGUAUAGGACUACCCUUUUGUUGUAGGUCAUGUACCCUUCGGUUUUGUGUAAAUUUUGACAGCCAUGCGAAAAUGGCUUAGAUAUACUUUGAUCAUAGCUUUAUAAUCGUUUGUAUGUUGUUUGUCAAGAGGUAUGGAAAUGUUGGUAACGGUUAGCCAUGGGAAUGGUCAUUCAUGAUCACUUUUGGUAUAUGUAUGACAAACUCUAGCUGAUCCAUGGAGGAUCAUGAAAUAGGUAAAGUUUACCUUAAAAA